rnacentral:rRNA from 1 species
GACGAACGCUGGCGGCGUGCUUAACACAUGCAAGUCGAACGGUGAAGCCUUCGGGUGGAUCAGUGGCGAACGGGUGAGUAACACGUGAGCAAUCUGCCCUUGACUCUGGGAUAACUUCGGGAAACCGGAGCUAAUACCGGAUAUGACAUCUGGCCGCAUGGUCUGGGUGUGGAAAGAUUUAUCGGUCAAGGAUGAGCUCGCGGCCUAUCAGCUUGUGGUGGGGAAUGGCCCACCAAGGCGACGACGGGUAGCCGGCCUGAGAGGGCGACCGGCCACACUGGGACUGAGACACGGGCCCAGACUCCUACGGGAGGCAGCAGUGGGGAAUAUUGCGCAAU